rnacentral:rRNA from 1 species
UACGAAGGGGGCUAGCGUUGUUCGGAAUUACUGGGCGUAAAGCGCACGUAGGCGGAUAUUUAAGUCAGGGGUGAAAUCCCGGGGCUCAACCCCGGAACUGCCUUUGAUACUGGGUAUCUCGAGUCCGAGAGAGGUGAGUGGAAUUCCGAGUGUAGAGGUGAAAUUCGUAGAUAUUCGGAGGAACACCAGUGGCGAAGGCGGCUCACUGGCUCGGUACUGACGCUGAGGUGCGAAAGCGUGGGGAGCAACAGGG